CAGUGCCUUCAUUGGUUUCAGGGGGCUAGUUUCCUAUUCCAGUGUGACACUUUUUAUGACAGUGUAGGUUGGGUGGUGCUAACCUCCGGCUUCGUUCUCAUCACUGGCUCUUCUAGUCUCAGGAAGAGUUUCUCAGACGCAUCCAGAGCUAGCUAGCCCUUAUCCUUAACUCUUUGGGCAAGAAGUGCUUCAGACUGUGGAGUUCUUCAGAUUUUUGGACUAUUCCUUCUACAUAAAGAGCAAACCUGACAUAGGAUAGCCAAGAAAGCAGACAUCAAGGCUUUGCUGUUCCUGGAGAAAAUUUAAAACUUUCAUAGAAUGAAUAUAGGAGACACACACUUCCUGGCAUACUUCCCAUAAAGACUUUUGGUAGACUUCGUUUGAGAAAUUUCUUGAAGGGAGACUUCUCUGCACAGCUGUGAUUGAUUACAUCCUUGGCCACCAGUGUGAUUAACUCCACAUCCAGUCCUAUCAGAGUUGGCUGGCAUGUAAGACUGGGAAUCCCAUGUCCCAUUCUGUCUUAGUUUUCCUGGGAAGGUUCCCAGUAUGCAUCCUGAAGCUACCUAGAGGCAGCCAGCACAUAACUCAUCAUGCUUGCCAGAAGACACAUCACUGUCAAGAUUCCAAGCUCCUUGUGCUGUCUGCGCCAGGAAGCAGAAGGUAAAACAAGGCCAAGGACACACUCACAAUAUCACAAGGACACAACAGGGCAGUCAAACGUAUGAACUCAGGAUGCUUAUGACAACAAUGCAUGAGAUCUUCAAAGAUCAAGCCACACUUGGUCCCAUCAUGAAGGGGAGAGGAAGACACAGCCCCAGAUGAGGAGAUCUUGGCAACUGGUACUUUCUGGGAAAUCAAGAAUCCAUUUUCUUUGAUAACAUUGGCCCUUGCAAGUUGAUUACCCUCCAGUGGGAGGCUGCAUAUCACAUUUCUCUUUCAGCCACUGAAAACUGUACAGUGUCAAAGUAUAAGCAUGCCCUUUUGUGGAAAACUUUGAAAUGCCAUCGGACCAAAAGAUAAAAAUAAAAAACAUCUAUAUAUACAGCCUACCUGUUUCGUUACUUUUUGUUGCCCUGACCAAAAGUAACUUAUUGGAGGCAGAGUUUACUCUUCCAUUGGUUUCAGAAGGGGAGUCAAGACUGGAGGACGUGGAGGCAAGUGGCUGGGACAGAAAGCUGAGAGGUUACAAUGCAAACAUAGUGCAAAGAA